rnacentral:rRNA from 1 species
UGGGUAGUCCGCACGAGCGCACCUCGUCCUUAGUUGCCAGCAGUUCGGCUGGGCACUCUAAGGAAACUGCCGGUGAUAAGCUGGAGGAAGGUGGGGAUGACGUCAAGUCCUCAUGGCCCUUACGGGCUGGGCUACACACGUGCUACAAUGGCGGUUACAAUGGGACGCGAAUGGGCAACCUGGAGCUAAUCCCCAAAAACCGUCUCAGUUCGGAUUGUUCUCUGCAACUCGAGAGCAUGAAGUCGGAAUCGCUAGUAAUCGUGGAUCAGCGUGCCACGGUGAAUACGUUCCCGGGCCUUGUACACACCGCCCGUCACACCAUGGGAGUUGGUUCUACCCGAAGCCGGUGCGCUAACCGUAAGGAGGCAGCCGACCACGGUAGGAUUAGCGACUGGGGUGAAGUCGUAACAAGGUAGCCGUAGGGGAACCUGCGGCUGGAUCACCUCCUUUCU